AGGAUAUUAGUUAAACUUUAUAACAUUAAAUUUGCUUUUUAAAAUUAAAUUAUUUAUAUCUUU
rnacentral:tRNA from 1 species